rnacentral:rRNA from 1 species
GAUGAACGCUGGCGGCGUGCUUAACACAUGCAAGUCGAACGGUGAAGCAGAGCUUGCUCUGUGGAUCAGUGGCGAACGGGUGAGUAACACGUGAGCAACCUGCCCUGGACUCUGGGAUAAGCGCUGGAAACGGCGUCUAAUACUGGAUACGAGACGUGGCCGCAUGGUCAACGUUUGGAAAGAUUUUUUGGUUCAGGAUGGGCUCGCGGCCUAUCAGCUUGUUGGUGAGGUAAUGGCUCACCAAGGCGUCGACGGGGAGCCGGCCUGCGAGGGUGACCGGCCACACUGGGACUGAGACACGGCCCAGACUCCUACGGGAGGCAGCAGUGGGGAAUAUUGCACAAUGGGCGAAAGCCUGAUGCAGCAACGCCGCGUGAGGGAUGACGGCCUUCGGGUUGUAAACCUCUUUUAGCAAGGAAGAAGCGAAAGUGGCGGUACUUGCAGAAAAAGCGCCGGCUAACUACGUGCCAGCAGCCGCCGUAAGAC